rnacentral:sRNA from 1 species
UUUCCAAAAAAGAUAAAUACGAUUGCAUUGCAUGAAUUAACGGAUGCGAUCAUACCAGCAUUAAUGCACCGGAUCCCAUUAGAACUCCGCAGCUAAGCGUGCUUGGCUGAGAGUAGUACUAGGAUGGGUGACUCCUAUGAAGUCCUCGUGCAGCUUCCCUCUU